rnacentral:sRNA from 1 species
CGGAAGGGGAGGAACCAGGUUUCCGUCAGAGGAGGUAUCCCAUGGCAACCAGGUUGGAGGCCAGGAUGGCUCAUGUUUUCUUCCCACUGGAGCCAAAGCAAAGAGUCCAAGGUCCUAGGCACAGAAAUGGUCUUCCCACCCCAACUAGACAUCAAUCACAGCCCUCUGGCCCUCAGUUCAAGUACUACUGAACAGGCCCACGUGGGCUUCAGCCCUGGCUCGCUGCUUCCGGCUUUUGUGGAUUUGAGAGGUCGCGCCCCUUCACCAUCCCAUAAUUUCCUUAUAAGUAAAAUGGCAGGAAUGAUACCUACCUCAUGGGUUAUUUGAGGACGCAAUGAUAUAACGCAGAUGAAGGCCUGGACUUGGAGACUGUUAUAUGCUCACCGCGUGAAAGUAGUGGUUAGACCUUCAGAUC